rnacentral:miRNA from 3 species
GACAGUCAGCAGUUGGUCUGGU